UACGAAGGGUGCAAGCGUUAAUCGGAAUUACUGGGCGUAAAGCGUGCGUAGGCGGUUUGUUAAGUCUGCUGUGAAAUCCCCGGGCUCAACCUGGGAAUGGCAGUGGAUACUGGCAAGCUAGAGUGUGUCAGAGGAUGGUGGAAUUCCCGGUGUAGCGGUGAAAUGCGUAGAGAUCGGGAGGAACAUCAGUGGCGAAGGCGGUUCUCUGGGCCUGUAACUGACGCUG
rnacentral:rRNA from 1 species